CCUACGGGAGGCAGCAGUGGGGGAUAUUGCACAAUGGGGGAAACCCUGAUGCAGCGACGCCGCGUGAGCGAAGAAGUAUUUCGGUAUGUAAAGCCCUAUCAGCAGGGCAGAAGAAAUGACGGUACCUGAGUAAGAAGCACCGGCUAAAUACGUGCCAGCAGCCGCGGUAAUACGUAUGGUGCAAGCGUUAUCCGGAUUUACUGGGUGUAAAGGGAGCGCAGGCGGCACGGCAAGCCUGAUGUGAAAGCCCGGGGCCCAACCUGGGGACUGCAUUGGGUACUACCGGGCUGGAGUGCCGGAGAGGUAGGGGGAAGUCCUAGUGUAGCGGUGAAAUGCGUAGAUAUUAGGAGGAACACCAGUGGCGAAAGCGGCCUACUGGACGGUGACUGACGCUGAGGCUCGAAAGCGAGGGGAGCAAACAGGAUUAGAUACCCGAGUAGUC
rnacentral:rRNA from 1 species